UGAUUGGCGGGAUCCCUCG
rnacentral:snRNA from 1 species